GCUGUCACUUACAGAUGGACCCGCGGCGCAUAAGCUAGUUGGUGAGGUAACGGCUCACCAAGGCGACGAUGCGUAGCCGACCUGAGAGGGUGAUCGGCCACACUGGGACUGAGACACGGCCCAGACUCUUACGGGAGGCAGCAGUAGGGAAUCUUCCGCAAUGGACGAAAGUCUGACGGAGCAACGCCGCGUGAGUGAUGAAGGUUUUCGGAUCGUAAAGCUCUGUUGUUAGGGAAGAACAAGUGCAAGAGUAACUGCUUGCACCUUGACGGUACCUAACCAGAAAGCCACGGCUAACUACGUGCCAGCAGCCGCGGUAAUACGUAGGUGGCAAGCGUUGUCCGGAAUUAUUGGGCGUAAAGGGCUCGCAGGCGGUUUCUUAAGUCUGAUGUGAAAGCCCCCGGCUCAACCGGGGAGGGUCAUUGGAAACUGGGAAACUUGAGUGCAGAAGAGGAGAGUGGAAUUCCACGUGUAGCGGUGAAAUGCGUAGAGAUGUGGAGGAACACCAGUGGCGAAGGCGACUCUCUGGUCUGUAACUGACGCUGAGGAGCGAAAGCGUGGGGAGCGAACAGGAUUAGAUACCCUGGUAGUCCACGCCGUAAACGAUGAGUGCUAAGUGUUAGGGGGUUUCCGCCCCUUAGUGCUGCAGCUAACGCAUUAAGCACUCCGCCUGGGGAGUACGGUCGCAAGACUGAAACUCAAAGGAAUUGACGGGGGCCCGCACAAGCGGUGGAGCAUGUGGUUUAAUUCGAAGCAACGCGAAGAACCUUACCAGGUCUUGACAUCCUCUGACAACCCUAGAGAUAGGGCUUUCCCUUC
rnacentral:rRNA from 1 species